AGUGAACGCUGGCGGUAGGCCUAACACAUGCAAGUCGAACGGCAGCACAGUAAGAGCUUGCUCUUACGGGUGGCGAGUGGCGGACGGGUGAGGAAUACAUCGGAAUCUACUUUUUCGUGGGGGAUAACGUAGGGAAACUUACGCUAAUACCGCAUACGACCUACGGGUGAAAGCAGGGGAUCUUCGGACCUUGCGCGAUUGAAUGAGCCGAUGUCGGAUUAGCUAGUUGGCGGGGUAAAGGCCCACCAAGGCGACGAUCCGUAGCUGGUCUGAGAGGAUGAUCAGCCACACUGGAACUGAGACACGGUCCAGACUCCUACGGGAGGCAGCAGUGGGGAAUAUUGGACAAAGGGCGCAAGCCUGAUCCAGCCAUACCGCGUGGGUGAAGAAGGCCUUCGGGUAGUAAAGCCCUUUUGUUGGGAAAGAAAAGCAGCAGGUUAAUACCCCGCUGUUCUGACGGUACCCAAAGAAUAAGCACCGGCUAACUUCGUG
rnacentral:rRNA from 1 species